rnacentral:rRNA from 1 species
GGGCCCGCACAAGCGGAGGAACAUGUGGUUUAAUUCGAUGAUACGCGAGGAACCUUACCCGGGCUUGAAAGUUAGUGACUUUAGCAGAGAUGCUAUUUCCCUUCGGGGCACGAAACUAGGUGCUGCAUGGUUGUCGUCAGCUCGUGCCGUGAGGUGUCGGCUUAAGUGCCAUAACGAGCGCAACCCCUAUCUUCAGUUACCAUCAGGUAAUGCUGGGGACUCUGGAGAGACUGCCACCGUAAGGUGUGAGGAAGGUGGGGAUGACGUCAAAUCAGCACGGCCCUUACGUCCGGGGCGACACACGUGUUACAAUGGGCGGUACAGAGGGUUGCUACCUGGUGACAGGAUGCUAAUCUCAAAAAGCCGUUCUCAGUUCGGAUCGGAGUCUGCAACUCGACUCCGUGAAGCUGGAUUCGCUAGUAAUCGCGCAUCAGCCAUGGCGCGGUGAAUACGUUCCCGGGCCUU